UUCGAGCGGCGGACGGGUGAGUAACGCGUGAGCAAUCUGUCUCUUACAGGGGGAUAACACUUGGAAACAGGUGCUAAUACCGCAUAAGACCACGGCAUCACAUGGUGCAGAGGUAAAAGGGGCAACUUGGUAAGAGGUGAGCUCGCGUCUGAUUAGCUAGUUGGUGAGGUAACGGCCCACCAAGGCGACGAUCAGUAGCCGACCUGAGAGGGUGAUCGGCCACAUUGGAACUGAGACACGGUCCAGACUCCUACGGGAGGCAGCAGUGGGGAAUAUAGGGCAAUGGGCGCAAGCCUGACCCAGCAACGCCGCGUGAGGGAAGAAGGUUUUAGGAUUGUAAACCUCUGUCCUUAGGGAAAAAGCAAGUGAUGGUACCUAAGGAGGAAGCCCCGGCUAACUACGUGCCAGCAGCCGCGGUAAUACGUAGGGGGCGAGCGUUGUCCGGAAUGACUGGGCGUAAAGGGCGUGUAGGCGGCUAAUUAAGUCUGGAGUGGAAGUCCUACUUUCAAGGUGGGAAUUGCUUUGGAGACUGGUUAGCUUGAGUGCGGAAGAGGUAAGUGGAAUUCCCAGUGUAGCGGUAAUAUGCGUAGAUAUUGGGAAGAACACCAGUGGCGAAGACGACUUACUGGGCCGUAACUGACGCUGAGGCGCGAAAGCGUGGGGAGCAAACAGAAUUAGAUACCCUGGUAGUCCACGCUGUAAACGAUGAAUGUUAGGUGAAACGGGUAUCGAACCCUGCUGGUCCGGAGUAAACUCAAUAAGCAUUCCACCUGGGGAGUAAGGUCGCAAGGCUGAAACUCAAAGGAAUUGACAGGGGACCGCACAAGCAGCGGAGCAUGUUGUUUAAUUCGAUGCAACGCGAAGAACCUUACCAGGUCUUGACAUUGAUGCAAAGCUAUAGAGAUGAUAGUGGGAACUUGUUCAGCAGAAAACAGGUGGUGCAUGGUUGUCGUCAGCUCGUGUCGUGAGAUGUUGGGUUAAGUCCCGCAACGAGCGCAACCCUUAUUAUCAGUUACUAACGUGUAGAGGCGAGGACUCUGAUAAGACCGCCGGGGACAACUCGGAGGAAGGUGGGGACGAUGUCAAAUCAUCAUGCCCCUUAUGACCUGGGCUACAAACGUGCUACAAUGGCGGUUACAAAGAGCAGCGAGACUGUAAGGUGGAGCUAAUCUCAAAAAAGCCGUCUCAGUUCGGAUUGUGGGCUGCAACCCGCCCACAUGAAGUUGGAGUUGCUAGUAAUCGCGGAUCAGAAUGCCGCGGUGAAUACGUUCCCGGGCCUUGCACACACCGCCCGUCA
rnacentral:rRNA from 1 species